AAUUUUCCUCUUCACUCUCAUUCGAGUUUGAUUUCGUCUUGAUAUUUUUUCUUUAUCUGAUGUUUGGGUGUUCUGAUUGCAGAAUAUGUACACAAUGAAUCUAAUCUCAGCUUAGAACCACGGUAAGGUUACUAUUGUUUUCUACUUUACUACUGUUUUCUCAUUAUGGCAAAUUCACUGUUUGGUAGUUCAUGAAGUAUGGGUUUUUAUCUUGGUUUGGUUUCUCGCUGGGGUUUUAGCUUUUUAGGUAGUUAUUUGAGCUUUGAAGGCAAGGAAAAGUGUUUUUUUUGGGUUACAGGAUAUGAGAACUUAUCGACUGCAAUCAGAUCUUAGGGGAGCUGCAAUCCAUGUGAAUUUUUAAAAGACGAACUCUGCUACAGUAGUUGUGUUGGGAAUAUCUUUAACGGGACUGACGUGGGAGUGAUAAAAAAACAUCAUCAGUAUGAUUCUAUAUGACACGAGAAGCUUGACAAAUGUGCAAGUUACAAAGAGGCCUAACUGGAAGGAGUGUCAGAAUUCAUAACUGACAAUCGUGGGCUUGAGGUCUAUGUUUAUGGAUUGAAUUGUGGGACUUUUUCGUUUGUUUCAAUUGAUCCUGUGACAUUGAAAAGCAUUUUGAGCCCUAUGGUAAGGUAUCGCAUGUUAUAAUUCUUGGGUAAGUUGGUUCCAUAUAUCUCACUACUGGAUAGUUGAUUUGUUCAUUUGUGGUUUAUUAUAGUAAGAUGUUGGCAGGGUGUCUCUGUUGAAUGUGACCUCAGUAUGAAAGCUAUCAAGGUGGUAGGGAUGAUAUUCUUAGAAGAGGAAAGGAAUAUAGUUGAUCUAUAAGUAGAAGUCCAGUGCAUCGAAGAAGUAGACCGAGUCCGGAUAAUGGAGUGGAAAACAGUCAAGUUUAUGACAGAUAAGGGACCAUCGAGCAACAAGGAUUGAAGCCCUGACCAUGAGUGAUAUACUGCUCGAUCACCAGUGGUUCACCAAUUCGUCGCUCACCUGUUCGUCGUGCCCGUUCCCCUGCUGGUAGUUCAAACGUUCAUCGAUCCCCAGCUGGAUGCUAAUCCGUUUUCUGUUCAGCUUAUACUCGCUCAUUUAUUCCCCAUUAUCCAGAUGACCGUUCAUCUGUUGGCCGUUCUCCAAAUGCCUUUUACCAUUUCGUCGUGCUCUUGAUGGCUGCUCACCUGUUUGGACAUGGUGUUUACGUUUUGAAGUAAAUUAUUGAAAUUGGUGUUUUUUUUAAUGGCUGAAACUUAAUACGACAGAAAGACUUGAUUCUGCCAGGCAGUUGUGAAUCCUAAAUAUUGGGGUCCUUUUUAAUAACAUUGAUGAUACUUUCCCCGUACACUUUUUUGUUUAUAAUGUUCUACUAGGUUUAUGGCUCAUGGAAUGUACGAUGCGCAACAGUUUAAUUAAUUGUAUACAGUCU